UACGAAGGGGGCUAGCGUUGCUCGGAAUUACUGGGCGUAAAGGGCGCGUAGGCGGCACUGUUAGUCAGGCGUGAAAGUCCUGGGCUCAACCUGGGAACUGCGCUUGAUACGGCAGAGCUAGAGGAUGGAAGAGGGUCGCGGAAUUCCCAGUGUAGAGGUGAAAAUUCGUAGAUAUUGGGAAGAACACCGGUGGCGAAGGCGGCGACCUGGUCCAUUACUGACGCUGAGGCGCGACAGCGUGGGGGAGCAAACAGG
rnacentral:rRNA from 1 species